GUAGGUGGCAAGCGUUGUCCGGAAUUAUUGGGCGUAAAGCGCGCGCAGGCGGUUCUUUAAGUCUGAUGUGAAAGCCCACGGCUCAACCGUGGAGGGUCAUUGGAAACUGGAGAACUUGAGUACAGAAGAGGAAAGCGGAAUUCCACGUGUAGCGGUGAAAUGCGUAGAGAUGUGGAGGAACACCAGUGGCGAAGGCGGCUUUCUGGUCUGUAACUGACGCUGAGGCGCGAAAGCGUGGGGAGCAAACAGGGAUUAGAUACCCUGGUAGUCCACGCCGUAAACGGUGAGUGCUAAGUGUUAGGGGGUUUCCCGCCCCUUAGUGCUGCAGCUAACGCAUUAAGCACUCCGCCUGGGGAGUACGGCCGCAAGGCUG
rnacentral:rRNA from 1 species